rnacentral:tRNA from 1 species
GCCGAGAUGGCGGAGUCUGGUUAAACGCAGCUGGCUCUCGACCAGUUUACUCACACGAGUAGCGAGGGUUCGAAAGUUCUUCGGAACUCCCUCUCUCGGCG